UACUCAGCGUUCUGACAACGUUAAUUUCCUUUGUGUGGGUCAUUUCUUCCUUUUGAAAAGCCAAGAUAAAGUUGACAGUCUUUAAAGAUGAAAGGAAUGAGGUGACAGUCGGGGUUAAUCCAUAUAAAUACUCAUUUCUCUCUCAGAAAUUUUUAGGCAAUCUCAUCUUAGAUUAAAAUAAAACCCCCCAAAGCAUCACUUUGUAUUGCACAUUACGCUGCAUCCCUUUUCUCGCCCUCAUAGCACCAGUCUGCGGGGAGGGGGCGGGGAAGCGCUACUGAUAAUACCAGCUUUAACUACUGGAGUUUCCCUUUGAACAAAUAUUCAAUUUAACCGGAGUUAAUUUACCAUAAAAGACAUUCCCCCUGGCACGAAUGCACUCAUGUCCUUGAACACACCUCUUUGAAAGCCUGGACUCUUACAGAAGCCAUUAUUUCGGGGUCUCUUUAAAAAUCCAGAGCCCAUCUCUCUCUUUCUCUCCCUCCCUCCCUUCUUCCCUCCCUCCACCCCACACCACCCCCAGUGAAAUCCUGGCACCCAGAGAGCACUCCUUUCAGCCAGAGAUCCCAGAACCAGCCGCUGUCCCCUGGCAAAAGAGGCCCAGUGCUGAGCCCUGGGCAAGUGUCUGCAGACAUCUCCUCCUCCCCUAUUAGUUUCCCUUACCAACAGAAAUCAUUUCCCCUUGCCACCAAAACUAGGUUGCAUCCAAAAGUUUCUCACAAGCUUUAAAGAGAAAAACGAAAAAUUGACAACUGUUACACAGAAGAGCUCACAAAUCCGCAGCAGCACCAGGGGGUGAAGAAGCAGCGACAGACCCAGGUUUGCAGGACCCUCUGAAGAACCCUCCCAUCAUGGAAGGGAGAAAAUGAAACUCUCUACCAGCGUCUAUUAGGGAAGCUAAAUUUCUCUCUUUCCGGCAAGUUUCCCAAACCUCAUGACUCUCAUUUCCAGACCAAAGACGUUUGCCCAGUAACGAGACGAGAGGAACAGCCUUCUAAGAGUGAAGCCCUCAAGACGUUUCCAAGCUGCCUGGACAAAGGCUUGGAAUGACUACAAUAGUGAACCAUCCUGCCUUGGACCUGAAUCUAGAUCGAUGACCUAAUACGUCUUUUCCAACUCUGACUGCCACAGUUUUAUGAGCAUCAAGGACUGGGCGUCUGCCAUUGUCAACAAGUAAGGCCUCUCCAGAGCUUGAACAUCCACAGAAACUCAAGUACCCCCCUCCCCCCCGAAGAGCACAGAUCGCCCAGUCUCCCAGGGCUCUGCGUGCUACCUCUAGCUUUCACGUGUGACACAGAAACUCCUCUUUGGCAG